CGGCUCUUGAAGCAACUGGAAGCUCAGGAGUACGUCUGCGCAGAACUGAAAGCCAUGGGCAUUUUGGACAUGCGCGGCGCUGAGUUUUGCCCCUACAGGUGUUUACAUUACAACAUGCCGUUAGCCACGGAGGACAGCAAAUAUUUUGCAUUAAGAAGUAAACUAUUAAAAUCAUUCAAGACCAAACCAAAGGGGACAAACA